GAGACAGCAGUCGCCACGGUAAUACGGAGGGUGCAAGCGUUAAUCGGAAUUACUGGGCGUAAAGCGCACGCAGGCGGUCUGACAAGUCAGAUGUGAAAUCCCCGGGCUUAACCUGGGAACUGCAUUUGAAACUGUCAGGCUGGAGUCUUGUAGAGGGGGGUAGAAUUCCAGGUGUAGCGGUGAAAUGCGUAGAGAUCUGGAGGAAUACCGGUGGCGAAGGCGGCCCCCUGGACAAAGACUGACGCUCAGGUGCGAAAGCGUGGGGAGCAAACAGGAUUAGAUACCCGCGUAGUCCCUGUCUCUUAUAC
rnacentral:rRNA from 1 species